AUCAAUAUUGUGCUCAUCUGGACAUUAAAAAGGCCAAAUGAUCACAAUAUUGAUUUGUGGUAUAUCCUGAUCAUUUGGCUUUUUCUAUUUUAUUUGAUUCUGGAAAUGCAUCGCAUAUUA
rnacentral:snoRNA from 1 species